rnacentral:tRNA from 1 species
GCGCCGAUAGUCUAAUGGUUAGGACAUCAGCUUCCCAAGCUGUUAAUCCGGGUUCGAAUCCCGGUCGGCGCA